rnacentral:snoRNA from 1 species
AUACUAUGAUUAGGACACUUCUGAUCAUGUCCUUUAACCUUUCCCAUGCUUCAUGAAAACUCUCUAAAUUGACCUCCUGAUAUAUGGGGAUCUCGUGUCUCAAUUU